rnacentral:misc_RNA from 1 species
GAUGAAGAACGCAGCAAAAUGCGAUACUUGGUGUGAAUUGCAGAAUCCCGUGAACCAUCGAGUUUUUGAACGCAAGUUGCGCCCGAAGCCUUUUGGCCGAGGGCACGUCUGCCUGGGCGUCACGCAUCGCGUCGCCCCCCACAAUUCUCCGUAAAGGGAACAUGUGUUUUGGGGGCGGAUAUUGGUCUCCCGUGCUCAUGGCGUGGUUGGCCGAAAUAGGAGUCCUUUCGAUGGACGCACGAACUAGUGGUGGUCGUAAAAACCCUCGUCUUUUGUUUCGUGCUGUUGCUCGCAAGGUAAACUCUUUAAAAACCCCAAUGUGUCGUCUCUUGACGACGCUUCGACCGCGACCCCAGGUCAGGCGGGACUACCCGCUGAGUUUAAGCAUAUCAAUAAGCGGAGA